rnacentral:rRNA from 1 species
AGCGUCCUACGGGGCGCAGCAGUAGGGAAUCUUCCACAAUGGACGAAAGUCUGAUGGAGCAACGCCGCGUGAGUGAAGAAGGGUUUCGGCUCGUAAAGCUCUGUUGGUAGUGAAGAAAGAUAGAGGUAGUAACUGGCCUUUAUUUGACGGUAAUUACUUAGAUAGUCACGGCUAACUACGUGCCAGCAGCCGCGGUAAUACGUAGGUGGCAAGCGUUGUCCGGAUUUAUUGGG